rnacentral:rRNA from 1 species
AACUAACGCUGGCGGCGUGCCUAACACAUGCAAGUCGUACGAGAAAGCCGGCUUCGGCUGGUGAGUAAAGUGGCGCACGGGUGAGUAACGCGUGGAUAAUCUGCCCUUAAGUGUGGAAUAACGUACCGAAAGGUGCGCUAAUACCGCAUAAUGCCUGGCAACACAAGUUGUCCGGCCAAAGAAGGCCUCUGUUUACAAGCUUUCGCUUCAGGAUGAGUCCGCGUACCAUUAGCUUGUUGGUGGGGUAAUGGCCUACCAAGGCUGCGAUGGUUAGCUGGUCUGAGAGGAUGAUCAGCCACACUGGAACUGAGACACGGUCCAGACUCCUACGGGAGGCAGCAGUGAGGAAUAUUGCGCAAUGGGGGCAACCCUGACGCGGCAACGCCGCGUGAGUGAGGAAGGUUUUCGGACUGUAAAGCUCUGUCGAGCGGGAAGAAGUGUACCAUGGCUAAUAUCCAUGAUAUUUGACGGUACCGCUAGAGGAAGCACC